GGGGGCGUUCUGGCAUUCGACGCUGGUGGCAAACCCUGAGGUGCAUGCCGAGAUCGUAACGUAUCUCGUAAAUAAAACGUUGCAAAUAUAUAGUCGCAAACGACGACAACUACGCUCUAGCUGCAUAAGCUGCUCAUGAUACCGUUGCGCCUGUUCAAGGUGGAUUGAGAACGAGCCCGUAUAAACAGGAUCGUCUUGGCCGACGUCUCUAAGGUCGAGAUUAAAACUCAGAGAAUCGCAUUGCUGUAGCCUGUUCAUUGGCGGCAGUAGUGUUAAAUCAAAUAAUGAAACUAAGCAUGUAGAGCCGAAGGCGGAGUGCCGGCGGACACGGGUUCGACUCCCGUCGCCUCCACCA
rfam:Cobetia sp. TCD-24C scaffold_5, whole genome shotgun sequence.